rnacentral:ncRNA from 1 species
AAAUCACUAGGGGAGCUUUAUGCUGAGAAGAGUGUACUCUGACCCUUUGAACUUGAAGCAGUUAAUACUGUCGUAAGGAAGUGGAAAUGUUUU